UACGGAGGGGGCUAGCGUUGUUCGGAAUUACUGGGCGUAAAGCGCGCGUAGGCGGUUUCUUAAGUCAGAGGUGAAAGCCCGGAGCUCAACUCCGGAAUUGCCUUUGAGACUGGGCGACUUGAAUCCGGGAGAGGUGAGUGGAAUUCCGAGUGUAGAGGUGAAAUUCGUAGAUAUUCGGAAGAACACCAGUGGCGAAGGCGGCUCACUGGACCGGUAUUGACGCUGAGGUGCGAAAGCGUGGGGAGCAAACAGG
rnacentral:rRNA from 1 species